rnacentral:lncRNA from 1 species
AAUUUACAAAGCUAAAAAUGAUGGGUGCAUUACCCAGUGCAUCAUAUAUACGUAUCAUUUUGUGCCAUCUUUAACACUCUAUAAUAUGCACAGAGUAAAGGAAUCAAAUUACUUUAAAAAUUCAUAAAGAAAAUAAUACAGUACGUUAUGACACGGUGUUUAAAAUUGGCACGUUAUGUCAUAUAUUUGUUACAUUUGUAUAUGGACAUGAUCGAGUUGUCGUAGAACGAUAAUCCAUCCUCGUUUUCUCCAUUGUGAGUUGAUUUUUGAAUUCGACUCAUCUGCAAUUUGCAUUUGGAAUUAC